GUAAGUUACCCUAAUUGAACAACACAGAAAUCCAACCUCUGCUUGAAAGUCCAUAAGGAACUAUAAUUGGGUUAUUACUUCAGCGGCUGCCUGCUCUUACUUUACACAGAGAUUUUCACUGCAACAGUCUACAGCAAGUGCUACUCCACUGUAAGGUGUGUCAAGUGUUCCGGAUAUCACAAACAAAGGAAAUUCAUCAGCAUGUCCCAGCCUCUGGGAAGUGGUCAAAAAUGUGACCGGGUUUAUGGAUAGAAGUGGACAAUGAAUUCUGAUUUCAGCAGCAAUCAACAUUGGGAUUGGUGGUUGAAGAGAGGAAGGGGAGCAUAGAGUCUGCCCUGGUAUUGCAUUUUAUUGCAACUACUGCUGCUGCUAUCUGCUGAUCAGAUAUUAAAAGCUUCACUAGACAAACAAAAGCAAGUAAUUAGCCUGAUUUACGCUAGUACAAGAAACAUUUGGGCCACAGAAAGCCUUUGACACCUCCUCAUGCAACAUAUCUUAGAGGCAAUUUAAAGUGAAAUUUACUGAGAUAAGCAGCUGAAGCUUUUGAGUAUAAUUAUCAGGGGAAAAAAA